rnacentral:rRNA from 1 species
UAACGAUACGGGACUCAUCCGAGGCCCCGUAAUCGGAAUGAGUACACUUUAAAUCCUUUAACGAGUAUCCAUUGGAGGGCAAGUCUGGUGCCAGCAGCCGCGGUAAUUCCAGCUCCAAUAGCGUAUAUUAAAGUUGUUGCGGUUAAAAAGCUCGUAGUUGAAUCUGUGUGCCACGCUGUCGGUUCAUCGCUCGCGAUGUUUAACUGACAUGAUUGUGGGACGUCCUACCGGUGGACUUAGCCUCUAUCUCUUCGGAGUUGGAGGCGGUCCAGCUAAUAUCCCAUCGCGGUGCUUUUCAUCGAGUGUCGAGGUGGGCCGGUACGUUUACUUUGAACAAAUUAGAGUGCUCAAAGCAGGCCAUCUUCGCCUGAAUACUGUGUGCAUGGAAUAAUGGAAUAGGACCUCGGUUCUAUUUUGUUGGUUUUCGGAACCCCGAGGUAAUGAUUAAUAGGGACAGAUGGGGGCAUUCGUAUUGCGACGUUAGAGGUGAAAUUCUUGGAUCGUCGCAAGACGGACAGAAGCGAAAGCAUUUGCCAAAAAUGUUUUCAUUAAUCAAGAACGAAAGUUAGAGGUUCGAAGGCGAUCAGAUACCGCCCUAGUUCUAACCAUAAACGAUGCCAGCUAGCGAUCCGCCGAAGUUCCUUUGAUGACUCGGCGGGCAGCUUCCGGGAAACCAAAGCUUUUGGGUUCCGGGGGAAGUAUGGUUGCAAAGCUGAAACUUAAAGGAAUUGACGGAAGGGCACCACCAGGAGUGGAGCCUGCGGCUUAAUUUGACUCAACAC